UACGUAGGUGGCGAGCGUUGUCCGGAUUUACUGGGCGUAAAGCGCGCGCAGGCGGCAGUCUAAGUCCGUCUGUGAAAUCACCCGGCUCAACUGGGUGGCUGCGGAGGAGACUGGGCAGCUUGAGGGGCCUAGAGGCCGGUGGAACUCCCGGUGUAGUGGUGAAAUGCGUAGAGAUCGGGAAGAACACCAGUGGCGAAGGCGGCCGGCUGGGGGGCGCCCUGACGCUGAG
rnacentral:rRNA from 1 species